GUCGGCAGUUCGAGUCUGCCCGGGCCCACCAUUCGCUGGGGCUCAUGGUGGGCCCGGGCAUUCUCUUGGUUUGUUUGCUCUUCCUCGCGAUCUUCGAUCGCUGCGGGGGGAGCGGGCCGGGCCCCGAGGUGCGAUCGAACGUCGUUAGUUCAGUCGCCGGCUUUUGCUGGCGACUGAAACCUGAUGGGGCUGUAGCUCAGCUGGGAGAGCACCUGCUUUGCAAGCAGGGGGUCAGCGGUUCGAUCCCGCUCAGCUCCACCAAGGUUUUGGUGUUGAUUGCUGGCGGACCUGUUUCUUGUCUUUGGAGAAAAAUGGUUUGCAUCGUCUCCGAUUGGGAGGCCGGUGCCUGUUCUGCUUACAUUGUGAAGAGAAGAUGUGUCUGGACGCUGAUCCUUUGGAUUGGCGUGUCCAUAAGCACGAUCGUUGUUGGGGUAUUCUUCGGAAUGCCUCUCUGGCGGUCUGCUGGAUUGAUGUUGCCUGACCGCGCAUCACCGGAUUCAUCUCGAGAAGCUGGUCUUAAGAUUUGGCGCAAGCGAACCGCUCGGCGUGGUUCCAAUAAAGCGACCAAAUCGAACACGUCGAUGGCAUCUGAUUGGCUCGGUUGUAAAAGGUAACCGGGCUUUUUGGCUGGCGGUGCGGCAUACUCUAGUGUGUCCGUAUGGUCAGAUUUGGCACCCCACGAGGGCGAAAGCCGAGUGGAUAAGGUCUGCCAAAUCCAAAUAAGGAUGAGCAUUGGCAAUGAGAACGAUCAAGUGUCAAAAGGGCAUUUGGUGGAUGCCUUGGCAUGCACAGGCGAUGAAGGACGUGAUACGCUGCGAUAAGCCGUGGGGAGCUGCGAAUGAGCUUUGAUCCAUGGAUCUC
rnacentral:misc_RNA from 1 species